rnacentral:tRNA from 1 species
GCCGCGGUGGUGGAAUGGUAUACACAAGGGACUUAAAAUCCCUCGGACUCUUUGUCCUUGCGAGUUCGAGUCUCGCCCGCGGUACCG